rnacentral:rRNA from 1 species
GGGUCAGUAGGUUGGUCGUGCCACCGGUACGUACUGGUCUCACUGAUUCCUCCUUCCUGAAUAAACGUAAUGCCAUUAAUUUGGUGUUGCGGGGAAACAGGACUGUUAAUUUGAAAAAAUUAGAGUGUUUAAAGCAAGCUAACGCUUGAAUACAUUAUCAUGGAAUAAUGAAAUAGGACGAUCGAUCCUAUUUUGUUGGUUUCUAGGAUUGACGUA